UUGUGAUGUAGCUGACAUUCUGACAAUAUGAUUUAUUGCAAACUGGAGGCAUUGUUCUAGUAAUAUAAGUAAAUGUAGUUUCUAAUGUGCUUGACACACAAUUUUAAUGUGAGAGCAUGCUAAGAAGGUUGAAUUACUUGAUGGAUUUAAAGAAUUGACUUGAUAACUAAUCACAAUUUUUUUUAUGGUGAAGGAGUCAUGACUGUUUUGCACCGUAUGAUUGUGGCCAAUAACAGAAUUUGGAUUCUUAUCCUGGUCGUGGUGCUGAAGUGGAAAGCAUCUCUCAAUUUGGGGAUGUUAUUAUCAGCCUGGACCACUAUGAGCUUGGAUCACAACAAUUGGUAUCUAUUUUAUGGUUGCCCUUGCAUUAUGCAGGGAGCUGCAAGGUAAUACUGCUUUGCACCGUGCAAUGUGAUCCAAUGUGAAAGGAGAGGGACCAACUGGUUCGGGUCUUGCCUGCUUGAAGUUGAUAUUGCCAAGACUUUCGGAUGAGAUGACACAACAGUAGUGAAGGCAAUGUACACUGUAAGCAAAGCUGGGGAUUUCCCAUUUGCUGCUCAAAGACGCCAUUGGAACUCAUUUUCAGCCCUUCCUACUUCCCUUGAAUUUAACCUGAGAAUCAUUACUCUGGUGUGAAGCAGAUGCGACUUGGAACCUUACGAGACCAUAUGCUUGCAGAUUGUGAUGCUAUUCAAUUGCAGACACAGCUGAAUUUGAACAUGUCCUAAGUCAUUUGUCUUGAUUGUGUUAGCUGGUUGAUUACACGCCGGGAUUUCAAGGUGCUGUAUCGACUCGAGUACACUCAUAUAGCAUGAUCAACUAUUCGAUAUGUGUACAUAUAUACUACUAGUAUGUGAUUGUAAAUAGCUUUUGAGCCUUUUCUUGCCUUGGAUCCCAAGGGGGAACAUGGAUAAUAGCGUCUGAAUAUACUAGGAUACGCAUAAUAGUUGCCUUUUAGUACUUGAUUCUGAGGUAGUCAAAUUUAUCUAUACUGUUGCUUUAAAUGUGGACAAAAUUAAGAUUAAAUUACUUAUCUUUGUUAAGUUAGUGCAUAUAUGCAUUUUAA